GUCCACGCCGUAAACGAUGAUAACUAGCUGUCCGGGCACUUGGUGUUUGGGUGGCGCAGCUAACGCAUUAAGUUAUCCGCCUGGGGAGUACGGUCGCAAGAUUAAAACUCAAAGGAAUUGACGGGGGCCUGCACAAGCGGUGGAGCAUGUGGUUUAAUUCGAAGCAACGCGCAGAACCUUACCAGCGUUUGACAUCCCGCGCUAUCCAGAGAGAUCUGGGGUUCCCUUCGGGGACGCGGUGACAGGUGCUGCAUGGCUGUCGU
rnacentral:rRNA from 1 species